rnacentral:rRNA from 1 species
CAACUUUCAGCAACGGAUCUCUUGGCUCUCGCAUCGAUGAAGAACGCAGCGAAAUGCGACAAGUAAUGUGAAUUGCAGAAUUCAGUGAAUCAUCGAAUCUUUGAACGCACCUUGCGCUCCUUGGUAUUCCGAGGAGCAUGCCUAUUUGAGUGUCAUG